rnacentral:rRNA from 1 species
AUCCUGGCUCAGAUUGAACGCUGGCGGCAGGCCUAACACAUGCAAGUCGAGCGGUAGAGAGGUGCUUGCAUCUCUUGAGAGCGGCGGACGGGUGAGUAAUGCCUAGGAAUCUGCCUAGUGGUGGGGGGAUAACGUUCGGAAACGGACGCUAAUACCGCAUACGUCCUACGGGAGAAAGCGGGGGGAUCUUCGGACCUCGCGCCAUUAGAUGAGCCUAGGUCGGAUUAGCUAGUUGGUGAGGUAAUGGCUCACCAAGGCGACGAUCCGUAACUGGUCUGAGAGGAUGAUCAGUCACACUGGAACUGAGACACGGUCCAGACUCCUACGGGAGGCAGCAGUGGGGAAUAUUGGACAAUGGGCGAAAGCCUGAUCCAGCCAUGCCGCGUGUGUGAAGAAGGUCUUCGGAUUGUAAAGCACUUUAAGUUGGGAGGAAGGGUAGUAACCUAAUACGUUGCUACUUUGACGUUACCGACAGAAUAAGCCCCGGCUAACUCCGUG